CUAAAGUGGGGCACCCUGAUCAGCAAUGCCGCGUGUGUGAAGAAGGCCUUCGGGUUGUAAAGCACUUUUGUCGGAAAGAAAGGGCCUGGGCUAAUACCCCGGGGCGAUGACGUUACCAAAAAGAAUAAGCACCGGCUAACUACGUGCCAGCAGCCGCGGUAAUACGUAGGGUGCGAGCGUUAAUCGGAAUUACUGGGCGUAAAGCGUGCGCAGGCGGUUUGAUAAGACGGGCGUGAAAUCCCCGGGCUCAACCUGGGAAUGGCGCUUGUGACUGUCAAGCUAGAGUGCGUCAGAGGGGGGUAGAAUUCCCUGUGUAGCAGUGAAAUGCGUAGAGAUGUGAAGGAACACCGAUGGCGAAGGCAACCCCCUGGGACGUGACUGACGCUCAUGCACGAAAGCGUGGGGAGCAAACAGGAUUAGAUACCCUGUUAGUCCCCCCCUAAACGAUGUCAACUAGUUGGUGGGGGAUUCAUUUCUUCCUUAACGUAACUUAACCGUGAAAUUGACCCCCCGGGGGAAGACCGGGCGGCAGAAGUAAAACUCCAAAGAAUUUGACCCGCCGGCGGGGGCGGCC
rnacentral:rRNA from 1 species